rnacentral:tRNA from 1 species
GUUGAGAGCGUGCGCCUCGGGCGCGCAAGGUCGCUGGUUCGAAUCCAGUCAUCCCGA